rnacentral:rRNA from 1 species
AGGGAAUCUUCCACAAUGGACGCAAGUCUGAUGGAGCAACAGCCGCGUGAGUGAAGAAGGUUUUCGGACCGUAAAGCUCUGUUGUUGGUGAAGAAGGAUAGAGGUAGUAACUGGCCUUUAUUUGACGGUAAUCAACCAGAAAGUCACGGCUAACUACGUGCCAGCAGCCGCGGUAAUCGUAGGUGGCAAGCGUUGUCCGGAUUUAUUGGGCGUAAAGCGAGCGCAGGCGGAAGAAUAAGUCUGAUGUGAAAGCCCUCGGCUUAACCGAGGAAUUGCAUCGGAAACUGUUUUCUUGAGUGCAGAAGAGGAGAGUAGAACUCCAUGUGUAGCGGUGGAAUGCGUAGAUAUAUGGAAGAAUACCAGUGGCGAAGGCGGCUCUCUGGUCUGCAACUGACGCUGAGGCUCGAAAGCAUGGGUAGCGAACAGGAUUAGAUACCCUGGUAGUCCAUGCCGUAAACGAUGAGUGCUAAGUGUUGGGAGGCUUCCGCCUCUCAGUGCUGCAGCUAACGCAUUAAGCACUCCGCCUGGGGGAGUACGACCGCAAGGUUGAAAC